GACAAAAUGACUGAUAAAAAGUAGAAAACUGUAAAUUUUUAUAUGGGUUUAAAUUAUCCUUUUGUU
rnacentral:tRNA from 1 species